rnacentral:lncRNA from 1 species
GGAGAUCCCAUGGUCAAGGUUCAAUGGGACAACAAAGUUAUUGGAGUGGUCUGUGGGGGUACUACAUUGGAUUUAUUCCAAACCCCUCCCUAUGAUGCGUAGUACCAACUGUAUUGAUUAGAGGAUGAGCUAAUGCUCUUAAUGCUUACUAUAGCUGAUAUUCAGUGGGGUGUUUAAAUACAGUGCACCCUUGAUAGUAGCACCUAUUUGAGUGUGGAAGUGAGGCCGCUUCCUAUGAGAAUUGAGGCGAAUUCUCUAGAGCACUCAAAGAAACUGGGAAAGUUCACGGCCGAAAUGAACACAACCGCGAGAACUCAAUGACUGUUCUAGAAAUCAUGUGUGUGUUCUAUUGUCUCAGUUUGCAAC